AGGAGCCGUAUGAACCGAGAGGUUCACGUCCGGUUCUGGGAGCGCGCGGGGGGGCGAUUCCCC
rnacentral:ncRNA from 1 species